UACGUAGGGUGCGAGCGUUGUCCGGAAUUAUUGGGCGUAAAGAGCUCGUAGGCGGUCUGUCGCGUCUGCUGAUGAAACCCGAGGCUCAACCUCGGGCCUGCAGUGGGUACGGGCAGACUAGAGUGCGGUAGGGGAGAAUGGAAUUCCUGGUGUAGCGGUGGAAUGCGCAGAUAUCGGGAAGAACACCCGUGGCGAAGGCGGCUCUCUGGGACGGUACUGACGCUGAGACGCGAAAGCGUGGGGAGCGAACAGGG
rnacentral:rRNA from 1 species